UUAUAUUUAAGUCGUCUGGAAAGUCUUCCAGUCUUCCAGCUGGAAGACUUUCCAGACGACUUAAUUAUA
rnacentral:pre_miRNA from 1 species